rnacentral:lncRNA from 1 species
UUCUCUACUUCCUGUUCUUGCCACCAUGCCUGCUGCUUGUUGUCUUGUCUCCCUGCAGUGAUGGACUCUUAGCCCUCUGGAACCAUAGUCAAAAUAGACUCAUCUUUUUGUAAGUUGCCUUGGUCAUGGUGCUUUAUCAGAGCAACAGGAAGAUACUGCUUUGAAAAGAAUGCCAGGGAGUGGCACUAUUAGGAGGUGUGGCCUUGUUGGAAUAGGUGUGGCACUGCAGGUGUGGGCUUUAAGACCCCCACCCUAGCUGCCUGGAAGCCAGUAUUCUGCUAACAGCCUUCAGAUGAAGAUGUGGAAAUCUCAGCUCCUCCUGUACCAUGCCUGCCUGGAUGCUGCCAUGCUCCCACCUUGAUGAUAAUGGACUGAACCUCUGAACCUGUAAGCCAGUCCCAAUUAAAUGUUGUCCUUAUAAGA